ACUACCAGAUUUCGUUUUAAGAGCUGUAGUUUGUUUGUAUUGUCGCAGUUUGUACGCGGUAGAUAUCCAGAUUAGUGUAGGAUAAGUUUAUGCUUAUACUGGGAUGCCGAGUUUAUUUUUACAGUAGAGUAUAGAUUGUUUAGGUCUGUCGGGUGCUGUCGUGGUUGGCGGUGGACCCAGAUUUCUGUAUUGCAUCAGAUUGUAUCAAGAGCACGUGAGCUUUGGUUGU
rnacentral:lncRNA from 1 species